rnacentral:rRNA from 1 species
ACCAAGGCUUGACAUAUACCUGAAAAGGCUAGAAACAGUCUCCCCGCAAGGCAGGUAUACAGGUGGUGCAUGGUUGUCGUCAGCUCGUGUCGUGAGAUGUUGGGUUAAGUCCCGCAACGAGCGCAACCCUCGUUCUAUGUUGCCAGCGGGUUAUGCCGGGAACUCAUAGGAGACUGCCGGGGUCAACUCGGAGGAA